UCCAAGGCUUAUGUCAUUUCAUUUGGCUUAUAGUUAUAUAUAGUUUACAAAACCUUGAGUUACUAGCAGAUAGAUGAAGAGGGGCCACCAUAACCAUAACCAUUACUGAUGCGUUUUGCGAAGUGUGAAUUGAAGACAAAGUGCAGGGUUUGGGCAGCUGGGAAGGCAGAAAGCUAUGGAAGGUAGUAGUUCAAAUAGUUUGGCCACAGGAAGAAAGACAUCAGAGUUGGAAGCAUUGCAGAAAGAGCAUGAAGAGAAAAACAUGAAAAUCCAAGAACUGAAGAGACAAAUUGAAAUGACAAAGAGUCGAUUGGAAAAGAAGAGGAGGGAGCUAACAGAGGAGAAAAUGGGAAGUUUCAAUGCAUUAAGCAAGAAAUAUAAUACUCUCAGAGAUGAGUACAAUGCAAUUUUAGCUCAGAAAUCAUCAAAGGAAUCAAAUUAACUAUA